GAUCAUGGCUCAGGACGAACGCUGGCGGCGUGCCUAAUACAUGCAAGUCGAGCGGACAGAUGGGAGCUUGCUCCCUGAUGUUAGCGGCGGACGGGUGAGUAACACGUGGGUAACCUGCCUGUAAGACUGGGAUAACUCCGGGAAACCGGGGCUAAUACCGGAUGGUUGUUUGAACCGCAUGGUUCAGACAUAAAAGGUGGCUUCGGCUACCACUUACAGAUGGACCCGCGGCGCAUUAGCUAGUUGGUGAGGUAACGGCUCACCAAGGCGACGAUGCGUAGCCGACCUGAGAGGGUGAUCGGCCACACUGGGACUGAGACACGGCCCAGACUCCUACGGGAGGCAGCAGUAGGGAAUCUUCCGCAAUGGACGAAAGUCUGACGGAGCAACGCCGCGUGAGUGAUGAAGGUUUUCGGAUCGUAAAGCUCUGUUGUUAGGGAAGAACAAGUGCCGUUCAAAUAGGGCGGCACCUUGACGG
rnacentral:rRNA from 1 species